rnacentral:rRNA from 1 species
AUGAAGAUCCGGCACGCGCUCACCCAAUCCGUCACCUUCCUCGUCAUGGUCGUUGCAUUGUUGGUGCUGGUGCCGGAGGGAACGAUGCUAGUGACGGGUGUCAAGACACCCGCUAUGGCGGUUCUGUCGGAAAGUAUGGAGCCUGCAAUUAGAAGGGGCGAUAUGGUGUUUGUGCACAACAUGAGCAAUGAACCUUUCCGCAUAGGAGAGAUCAUUCUUUUCAAAGUUGAUGGCUUUGAACAUCCAGUUGUCCAUCGUGUGAUCAAGGUUCACAAGCACCGGGAUACCGGAGAAAUUCGAAUACUCACCAAAGGAGACAACAAUUCAGUGGACGAUCAGUUUCUCUAUCCAGUUGGGCAGCCCUGGCUUCAGCCGCAUGAUAUUAUUGGACGGGUUGCGAGCUAUCUGCCAUAUGUUGGAUGGCCUAGUGUUUUCAUCAGCGAAGCUUAUAAGAUGUUGCAGAGUGGUGGAAGCACUACAACUCCACAAGUACACUGGGUCACAAUGUAA